rnacentral:rRNA from 1 species
CCUACGGGAGGCAGCGGUGAGGAAUAUUGGACAAUGGGCGCAAGCCUGAUCCAGCCAUGCCGCGUGCAGGAUGAAGCAUCUAUGGUGUGUAAACUGCUUUUGUACGAGAAGAAACACUCCGACGUGUCGGAGCUUGACGGUAUCGUAAGAAUAAGGAUCGGCUAACUCCGUGCCAGCAGCCGCGGUAAUACGGAGGAUCCAAGCGUUAUCCGGAAUCAUUGGGUUUAAAAGGGUCCGUAGGCGGGCUUAUAAGUCAGUGGUGAAAUCUCCCGGCUCAACCGGGAAAUGGCCAUUGAUACUGUAGGUCUUGAAUUAUUAGGAAGUAACUAGAAUAUGUAGUGUAGCGGUGAAAUGCUUAGAGAUUACAUGGAAUACCAAUUGCGAAGGCAGGUUACUACUAAAUUGAUUGACGCUGAUGGACGAAAGCGUGGGUAGCGAACAGGAUUAGAUACCCUGGUAGUCCACGCCGUAAACGAUGGAUACUAGCUGUUGGGGGCAACGUUCAGUGGCUAAGCGAAAAGUGAUAAGUAUCCCACCUGGGGAGUACGUUCGCAAGAAUGAAAACUCAAAAGGAAUUGAACGG